rnacentral:tRNA from 1 species
GGUUAUGGAUCAGCGGUAAAGUGCUUGCCUCGCACAUGCAAGGUCCUGGGUUCGAUCCUCAGCACCA